UGGAAGUAAAAGUCGUAACAAGGGUUUCCGUAGGUGAACCUGCGGAAGGAUCAUUAACGCGCAGGCCGGAGGCUGGCCCCCCACGAUAGGAAUCAACGUUCCAUCAGGGGUGUGCAGAUGUGCGCCGGCCUUACGCCCCAUUCUUGUCUACCUUACUCGGUUGCCUCGGCGGGCCGCGCUCUCCUGGGAGAGUCGUCCGGCGAGCCUCUUUGGGGGCUUUAGCUGGAUCGCGCCCGCCGGAGGACAGACAUCAAAAAAUCUUGGAAAGCUGUCAGUCUGAGCGUUAGCAAGUAAAAUUAGUUAAAACUUUCAACAACGGAUCUCUUGGUUCCGGCAUCGAUGAAGAACGCAGCGAAAUGCGAUAAGUAAUGUGAAUUGCAGAAUUCCGUGAAUCAUCGAAUCUUUGAACGCACAUUGCGCCCUCUGGUAUUCCGGGGGGCAUGCCUGUUCGAGCGUCAUUUCAACCCCUCAAGCCCGGCUUGUGUGAUGGACGACCGUCCGACCUCCUCUUUCGGGGGCGGGACGCGCCCGAAAAGCAGUGGCCAGGCCGCGAUUCCGGCUUCCUGGGCGAAUGGGCAGUCAAACCAGCGCCCUCAGGACCGGCCGCUCUGGCCUUCCCCCAAAUCUCUCUGAGAUAUUUUUUCAGGUUGACCUCGGAUCAGGUAGGGAUACCCGCUGAACUUAAGCAUAUCAAUAAGCGGAGGAA
rnacentral:misc_RNA from 1 species